UACGUAGGUGACAAGCGUUGUCCGGAUUUACUGGGCGUAAAGAGCGCGCAGGCGGUCGUUCAAGUCGAGUGUGAAAGCCCCCGGCUCAACUGGGGAGGGUCAUUCGAUACUGAUCGACUCGAAGGCAGGAGAGGGAAGUGGAAUUCCCGGUGUAGUGGUGAAAUGCGUAGAUAUCGGGAGGAACACCAGUGGCGAAGGCGACUUCCUGGGCCUUACCUGACGCUGAGGAGCGAAAGCGUGGGGAGCGAACAGG
rnacentral:rRNA from 1 species